rnacentral:rRNA from 1 species
UACGUAGGGUGCAAGCGUUGUCCGGAAUUACUGGGCGUAAAGAGCUCGUAGGCGGUUUGUCGCGUCGUCUGUGAAAACCAGCAGCUCAACUGUUGGCUUGCAGGCGAUACGGGCAGACUUGAGUAUUUCAGGGGAGACUGGAAUUCCUGGUGUAGCGGUGAAAUGCGCAGAUAUCAGGAGGAACACCGGUGGCGAAGGCGGGUCUCUGGGAAAUAACUGACGCUGAGGAGCGGAAAGCGUGGGUAGCGAACAGG